UGGGGAAUUUUGGACAAUGGGCGCAAGCCUGAUCCAGCCAUACCGCGUGAGUGAAGAAGGCCUUCGGGUUGUAAAGCUCUUUCAGACGGAAAGAAACGGUUACGGCUAAUACCCGUGACUAAUGACGGUACCGUAAGAAGAAGCACCGGCUAACUACGUGCCAGCAGCCGCGGUAAUACGUAGGGUGCGAGCGUUAAUCGGAAUUACUGGGCGUAAAGCGUGCGCAGGCAGUUUGGUAAGACAGAUGUGAAAUCCCCGGGCUUAACCUGGGAACUGCAUUUGUGACUGCCAGACUAGAGUGUAGCAGAGGGGGGUAGAAUUCCACGUGUAGCAGUGAAAUGCGUAGAUAUGUGGAGGAAUACCGAUGGCGAAGGCAGCCCCCUGGGCUAACACUGACGCUCAUGCACGAAAGCGUGGGGAGCAAACAGGAUUAGAUACCCCCGUAGUCCCUGAGCGGGCUGGCAAGGCGCAU
rnacentral:rRNA from 1 species